rnacentral:rRNA from 1 species
CACAGGUUUGGUCCUGGCCUUUCUAUUAAUUCUUAAUAAAAUUACACAUGCAAGUAUCCGCGCCCCGGUGAGAAUGCCCUCCAGAUCCUAAAGAUCAAAAGGAG